rnacentral:misc_RNA from 1 species
AUGAAAAAUUUUUUAAGUUAAAAAUAAUUAAAUUCUUUCAUUCCAAACAUAAAAUGAACCAAAAUGAAAUAAAUUUAAUUGAACUCUUGUAAAUUCUAGACUCCAGACAGAAGGUCAAGGAUUCAAAAUACACCAUAGUUAGAAAUCUUAAUGACAAAAACUCAGAAAGUUUCAAAUAUCCUAUAAUUAGCCAAUUUAAAAGCUCUAGCUAAAACAAACACAUUGAAAUUUUUAGUUUCUCCACCGUGCACCAAAUAACACUAAACCAAAUUCUUAAUCACAUUUUGACUUUCAAUGAAAUUGUAUGCUUUUAAUUUAUAGAAUACAAAGUUUUUGAAUGAUAAAAGGACAACAAUUAAAAUUUAUAGGUAGGUAACCAAUUUGGUACCUCAUAAAUAAUAACAGAACCACCAAUCAAACACCAAUGUGUACUCACUCAUCAUAAAACACAAUUGGCAAUUACCUGGUUCCAGAAUCACCUUCAGUAUCAGCCUCAGAGACCAAGUGCACAUAAAAGGUAUGGAUUCCUCCAUGAAAAUCAGGAAGUGAUAAUUAGCCAUUUUCUGCUCGGUCAUAUGCAUUGGACUUAUGCUUUGGUGCAAAUGUAAAUCCAUCUGGAACUUUCCCGAGCAACAUUUCAGAGAUUCGAAUCCAGUCAGCAGCAGAAUCAGAAGCCAUAAGUGUUCAAGGUCAUCGCGACCACAGUAGGAGGGUGGACGCCAGUUAAUCUGUUGUGGAAUAACAUCCAGAAGACCAACAGGCAUAUAUCUACAUGCGUAGCUAAGCCGUUCCAAUAAGAAACGCCUAGUUGUCUCCACCCCCGUAAAUGGUAAAAAGCAGGGAUUGCAAUAAUAUUUCUAGCAGUCUCACAUAUACAGGGCACACCUAUUCUCUCUCUUGCUAAAUUAUUACAAAAUAAAUGUCAGCAAAACCCAAAGACUUUAUCAUCCAUUUCAAGGCAACAAGCCUAGUAUCAGCAGCAAUAUGAUUGUAUGCAUUUCUACUAAAUAAAACCAAAAUAAUCAAAAAACAGAAACACUUCUCAUAACAAAGCAUGAAACAAAACAAUUCCAAGGAAAAUGAGAUCUGAGUUAUGGAUAUUAGUUCAUUUGACCAAAAAAUAAAUAUGCAUACCUUUUGUAUCAGAACCCCAAUGUUCAAGCCAAAAUGUACAUAAUCCUUCAAAAUAUCCAAUCGUUCUCCACAACUGAUGUCCCAAUGCCUUUGUUCCCUGAUUUCAGUAAACAUCCAAGGCUGCAAAUGCAAUUAAUGUUAUUCACAGGAAAUAAAAUUGCCUUUGAAGGAAAUACGACCACGGUUCAGAAGCAUGCAAGAAAAAAUUUGCGCUAUUCAAAAAUAUCCAACAUGUUUUGACUUGGACAAUUCCAAUCUCCACUUACAAACUUUAUUUAGUGCUCCUCUAGCUAUCAUGCAUGAAGAGAGCUCAGGGCAGUCUGACUGGCGCUUGGUCCAGUCUGUGUAUGAAAAGAUAUCCCCAUUUCCUAGUACUUGAAGAUAUUCUGGGGCCUUUCUAGCGCAAUGGUAUAUGUAGUCCCAAUCAGCAAGCUUGCUGUAGCGUUGCUGGCGUGAUCUACCAUGUAUUGUUACAGCACUGGCCCCCCAAUUACCAAUGUCCUCAAUUAGUGAGUCAAUACGAUUUUUUCCUUCAAAGUAACCUGUUCGCACCUUCACAGUUAUAGGCUUCUCAACUGUGCCAGAAGCUGCAUUUAUAACCCUUUUCAUUCGCAUUGGUUUUGUAAGAAGACAUGACCCAGCACCCUUGUCAACAACAAUAUCAAUUGGGCAGCCCAUAUUUAUAUCUAUGAAGUCCACAUUACAUUCCUGAUCUAUAAGCUCCACAGUGCGUGCUACAGUAUCUGGAUAUGCCCCACAUAUUUGGACACCAAACAAAUCCUCAGAGGAAUGGCGCCUCAGCAGAGCCCAUUCAGAAGCUUGACCCUGUAAAAGAUUUGUACACAUUGCCAUUUCACCGCAAGUUACAUCAGCUCCCAAUACUUUGCAAACCCUUCGAAAAGGAAGAUUUCCAACAGUGGUCAAAGGUGCGAGAUACAACUUUCCUCUGAAGUCAAUCAACUUCUUUUCACGCAGGUGUGUUUUCAAACUUCCAUCUGUUCCUGUGAGUGCAUCAUCAAUCAUAACUUCUAAUUCUGUUUCUGGACAACUAUUUUCAAGAUCUUUCUCCGGAACACUUAAUCCAUUAGCUUCUUCACCAGAGCAACACUUUUCUUCAAUAAUUGACUUCACUCUUUUCAGAGGCCUAAUUUCAUUAGUUGUUAUUAUUCCAUCAGCAUUCUCCCCGGUUCGCACUUCCAAAGAGCACUCCAAUUUAUCAGCAGAGUCACUGGCUACCUCACCACAACCAUUCUCAUUAGUAGCAUGAGAGUCAUUCACAGAGUUCUGAUCAACUUCCCCAUCAUCCUGCUUUUUUACUCUUGAAUUGCCAGGUCCCAUAAGACCAAGAGACUUGAGUUUAGCAUCUGCUUUGGGGAACUUCAUCUUAUUCUUCCACAAAAGCUUUUGAACAUCCUUGUUCAAUACAUUAAUUUCAGAGUUCUUCUUCAGCGCAUUCGAACUAUUGCCCUUAGCACCAUCUUCAUGUGUCCCAUAGAAUCUACAUGCCAAGCCAUAAGGACACGGCCCAUCUCCAUUAGUAAACGGACAUUUCCCCUCUAAAUCAGCCGGUUUCUCAGCCUUAAAGGCUUCUAUGUCAUGGCUGAAUCUGCACUUAUCACCAUAAGCACACGAACUAACGUCCUCACUCUUCGCUACCUCAGGGCACAGAUGCAAUGCAGAUUUCUGACGGCGUUCGCGUUUGAGUUGGCGUUUGGACUUCUUCUCCUUGGCUACUACACUUGACUUAGAGGCCUUGGCAUCGGCAUCGGAAACGGCAGUGUCCCUUUGGUUGGUUCUGGAAGGCGGAGGACGAAGGAACUCUCUCUUUACUGGAGCUAUGGCUUUGGCCACAAGCUCCUCCGGUGUUCGAUGAGUUCCAUUAGGGUUCAAAGGUUGUGAUGGUGGUUGGUCGACUAUAAGGUUCAUGUGUUCAAUGAGAUCGGCAGCAGACUCGGCCAUGUCGCACGAGUUAACUCACUCAACCAAUUCGGUGGCGGUGGCAGUGGGAGUGGCAGUUCAUCACCAGUUCAUGUAUCUUCGUACUUGAAUGGACAGUAGGGUUUAUUAAGGUCAUAACUGUCAAUCUAAAACGACGCAAGAUACUAUCGUUUGCGAUUAUAUAUAUAUAUCAAAUUUAAAA